rnacentral:rRNA from 1 species
UACGUAGGGUGCGAGCGUUAAUCGGAAUUACUGGCGUAAAGCGUGCGCAGGCGGUCUGUUAAGACCGAUGUGAAAUCCCCGGGCUUAACCUGGGAACUGCAUUGGUGACUGGCAGGCUUUGAGUGUGGCAGAGGGAGGUAGAAUUCCACGUGUAGCAGUGAAAUGCGUAGAGAUGUGGAGGAAUACCGAUGGCGAAGGCAGCCUCCUGGGCCAACACUGACGCUCAUGCACGAAAGCGUGGGGAGCAAACAGG